AACGAACGCUGGCGGCAGGCUUAACACAUGCAAGUCGAACGGGUGUAGCAAUACAUCAGUGGCAGACGGGUGAGUAACACGUGGGAACCUUCCUAGGGGUACGGAACAACUCAGGGAAACUUGAGCUAAAACCGUAUACGUCCGUGAGGAGAAAGAUUUAUCGCCCUUAGACGGGCCCGCGUCGGAUUAGCUAGUUGGUGGGGUAACGGCCUACCAAGGCGACGAUCCGUAGCUGAUCUUAGAGGAUGAUCAGCCACACUGGGACUGAGACACGGCCCAGACUCCUACGGGAGGCAGCAGUGGGGAAUCUUGGACAAUGGGCGCAAGCCUGAUCCAGCCAUGCCGCGUGAGUGAAGAAGGUCUUCGGAUCGUAAAGCUCUUUUGCCAGGGACGAUAAUGACGGUACCUGGAGAAUAAGCCCCGGCAAACUUCGUGCCAGCAGCCGCCGCGG
rnacentral:rRNA from 1 species